UACGGAGGGUGCGAGCGUUGUCCGGAAUCAUUGGGCGUAAAGGGCGCGUAGGUGGCGGGACAAGCGUGCGGUGAAAGCCUGGGGCUCAACCCCGGGUCGGCCGUGCGAACUGUUUUGCUUGAGCACUGUAGAGGCAGGCGGAAUUCCGGGUGUAGCGGUGGAAUGCGUAGAGAUCCGGAGGAACACCGGUGGCGAAGGCGGGUCUCUGGGCCGAUACUGACGCUGAGGAGCGAAAGCGUGGGGAGCGAACAGG
rnacentral:rRNA from 1 species